GACGUAGGGCGCGAGCGUUGUCCGGAUUUAUUGGGCGUAAAGAGCUCGUAGGCGGCUCGUUGCGUCGGCUGUGAAAACCCGCAGCUCAACUGUGGGCUUGCAGCUGAUACGGGCGGGCUGGGAUUCGGUAGGGGAGACUGGAAUUCCUGGUGUAGCGGUGAAAUGCGCAGAUAUCAGGAGGAACACCUAUUGCGAAGGCAGCUCGCUGGGACGUUACUGACGCUGAGACGCGAAAGCGUGGGGAGCGAACAGG
rnacentral:rRNA from 1 species